rnacentral:rRNA from 1 species
UACGUAGGGUGCAAGCGUUAAUCGGAAUUACUGGGCGUAAAGCGUGCGUAGGCGGUUGCGCAAGACAGGUGUGAAAUCCCCGGGCUUAACCUGGGAAUUGCACUUGUGACUGUGCGGCUGGAGUGCGGCAGAGGGGGAUGGAAUUCCGCGUGUAGCAGUGAAAUUCGUAGAUAUCGGGAGGAACACCGGUGGCGAAGGCGGCGACCUGGGUAGAUACUGACGCUGAGACGCGAAAGCGUGGGGAGCGAACAGG